UCUGCUCUGAGUUCUCCAUCCAAUCCGCGUCCGCGUCCUUUGCUUCCCUUCCGCGCUCUCGCCUUCCUCCCUCGUUCUUCCAUGUGAUUCCGCCGAUAGGUUUCCCUUUUCCGACGAUCUCUAUCGCCAUUAUCUUAUCUUGGUUUCUAACCUUCUGAUGGUGUCUUUGCUACGAUAGAGCCUUGGGGGGGGGGGCUUUUCCGGCGAGAAGCCUCUUGAUUGGAAUCCUCUCGCGGUUUUACUGGCUAUGGAAAUUGAAUCGUCUCAUCGACGGCGUGAGCAAAAUCCCGACUUGUGAGGUACUCCGCUCGUUCUUAAAGAUUGCUCGAGUUUGAGUCGUGCUCCAGGUCUGGAAUUUUUCGUGAUCGGCUUAGCCAUUUCUCAUCUUUCACCGGAUUGGAACCCUAGAUUCGUGAGCUCUGCUAGAAUUUUGUCUGAUCUUGGUCGUUCUUAAAGAUUGCUUCUGUGCCUCAUCUGAGUCGUGAGUCGUGCUCGAGGUCUAGAAUACUUGGUGAUUGAUUUGGCCAUUUGUCAUCUCUCAUCGGAUUGCACCCCUAAAUUCGACAACUUUGCUGAAGUUUGUCAUCAUCUUUUGUUGGAAUCUUCAUCAAUCGUGUCCAGAAUCUGAUAUUUCUUGGUGCCACGACAGCUUGUAAGCCUCCCACACCCCAUCUCAGGCUCUGUCUGCUUCCUUCACCUGUGAUUAUGGACGAUGGGGAGCCCGAUUUGUCUAAUCCUGAGGUCUUCUCUACCCCGGGCGCUGGUGAGGAUCUUCCUAGCAGCUGCUCAAUGGAUAGCUUCUUCGACAAAAUAUUAAAUGACGGGCAUACGUGCACCCAUACUCACACCUGCAACCCUCCCGGGCCCAGCCUCUCGCACACGCAUACCUGUUUCCAUGUCCACACCAAAAUUCUGUCGGCUUCCCCAGAUGAGACUGCUGAGUCGGUGGAGAAGAGCGAUUCUUCGAAGAAAAGGCCUUGUAAUAAUCGAGAAGCCGUUCGGAAGUAUAGGGAGAAGAAGAAGGCCCAUGCAGCAUCCCUGGAGGAGGAGGCAGCUUACCUGAGAGCAAUCAACCAACAACUGUUGAAAAGACUUCAGAACCAAGCUGCCCUUGAAGCUGAGAUUGCAAGGCUUAAAUGCUUGCUUGUGGAUCUGAGGGGGAGGAUUGAGGGAGAGAUUGGGUCUUUUCCUUAUCACAAGCCAGCGAAAGGGAGUGGAGAUUUUGUUUCUAAUGUGACACAGGGGAACAUGCUGGCUGGUGCUCAGGUUCUAAAUCCAUGUAGUUUCCAUUGUGAUGAUCAGGUUAACUGGUUCUAUCCAGGGAUGCACGGAAAUGAUGUGGGAGAAACUGGUGUAUUUGAUGAUCAGGGUCUUGGAGUCUGUGAGAUUGGGAACAUGCAGUGCAUGGGGAGUUCAACUUCUAGAUCUCAGGACUUUGCGAGCUGCAAAAGCAAGACUGCAAAACCUGUUGACUGCUCAUCUAAUGCCACAAGAUUAGAAGGAGCUCGCGCAUCUGAGGACUCUUGAUCUGUGUUUCAAAGUCAUGAUCAUAGAGGCAAUGCUUCAUUUGAUAUCCAAUGGUUGCUCAAGUCAUGAAGAACAGUGGUUCCAAGAAAAACCUUUUGGUCUUACUUCUAAAUGGCACUCCAUGUUCCAAGCAUCCGGCACAUAAUAUCAUAUUAGAGGUGAGUGAUCCAAAAAUAUUUGUUUCCAUCAAGGGUGGUGACGGGAACCACAUCAAGAACUAAAUUUUUCCGAGACAGAGAAAGACUCAACUUUCGGUACAUCUUUUAAUCCUUCUCUUUUACUCUUGCCUAUUUAUUGGGUAUUGGAAAGACAAACCAAGAUACUGAUGCAAUAUUGUCAUAUUUUGUGUCUUAACCACCCCAAAACUUUUGUCUCUA